rnacentral:rRNA from 1 species
UGGGGAAUCUUCCGCAAUGGACGAAAGUCUGACGGAGCAACGCCGCGUGAGUGAAGAAAGGUUUUCGGAUCGUAAAAACUCUGUCUUUUUGGGGGCGAACGUGAGUAUGGUGAACAAUCAUAGUCAGUGACGGUACCAAAAGGAGGAAGCCACGGCUAAACUACGUGCCAGCAGCCGCGGUAAUACGUAGGUGGCAAGCGUUGUCCGGAAAUUAUUGGGCGUAAAAGAGCGCGUAGGCGGGAUAGUCAGUCUGUUGUAAAAGUGCGGGGGCUCAAACCCCGUGAUGGCAAAUGGAAAACAGCUAUUCUUGAGUGCAGGAGAAGGAAAGUGGAAUUCCCAGUGUAGCGGUGAAAAUGCGUAGAUAUUGGGAGGAACACCAGUGGCGAAGGCGACUUUCUGGACUGUGUCUGACGCUGAGGCGCGAAAAGCCAGGGGAGCGAACGGGAUUAGAUACCCCGGUAGUCCUGGCCGUAAAACGAUGGGUACUAGGUGUGGGAGGUAUCGA